rnacentral:lncRNA from 1 species
GCUCUUUAAAUCGUUCUUCAUUUAUCUGAAUAGCUUCAAUGUUCUCAGUUUGCGUAUUUGCUGGCGUAUUCGUCGAGUGAUCAUCUUGUUUCAGUUCAUCUCCUAAUGGUUGUUGAUCUCCAUCAUUUGGUUGUUCUACAUCGGCAUCGGCUUCAGUUGACGUCAAAGGUUGAAUAUCCGGCCUUUGGCUUGUUGAAGGUUGAGGUUGUGCCGGUUGUGGGUUCGUUGAUGACGCAAAAAACUUUUUUAACGAACCUGCUAACCGCCUGUCAUCUUCCUCCUUUUCUAGCUUCCUUUUUCGGUAUUGGGAACCAGAAUGCCUCUUUCGACCAUCAGCUAUCUAAAUCAACAAAUAUUUUUUUUAGAAUUGGCACAAAAAUCAGACAUUACUUUUUUCAAUGAAAAAUUGCUUAAGGUAUGAAGUUCUAAAUAUUUGGAAGAUAUUAAUAAAAUAUUUUAAACUUACCGUUAACAACACAAACACAAUUUUUAUAUAAAAUGUAUUAAAAAUAAACACUAAUCAACAAGUCGCUUUAAAACUCGCAAAUUAAAAUAAAUUAAAAACAAAAGGGUGGGAAUUUCUAAACAUUACACCCCCGCUUAUUUCUGCAGCUCCAAAAUACAUAUUAUUUAUUACGCAAAAGUAUUGAAAUUCUGCGAGAAAUAAAUUUCGAGGAAUUACUAUUGGUGGUACUUUACGCGGCUCUCUUAAUUACGCCGCCCUUAUAACAUCAUCAGCACCGGCAGCGGCGCCGGCGCCGCCCUGGCUAAACCCACCAUAAUAAUUGCGGUGCUAUUGUUUUUAUCACCUGGUCCUGGUACCUAUUUAUUUAUCUAUAUAGAUUAUUAUUAUUGUAGCAACGAUUCGGGGAACAGUGCUCGGUUUCAGUAAACAUUGUAUUCUGUUGGCGCCUUAAUUAUAAGUUUUAAAUUUUAUAAAUUUUUGUUAUUCAUAAUUUUUUUCUUCAUUACUUGGCGCUUUUUUAUUUUAUUUUUCGGAUAUUUUACCGCCCCAAAUGAGCGCCGCCCGGGUGCGGCGCACCCCUUGCACCCCCGGCACGGCUCGGCCCUGGACUACUCCGAGUAGAAAUGUAGGCUUUAAAGAAUGUGAUACAUUUCCACAAAUAAAGAAAAUAUUUAAGACGCCCGAUAUUCUAAUAGAACAAACUAUAGCAAAAGUAGAGGUCGUUCCGCUACAGUAACGAGACUUAAGAAUAUUUUGCAAAUUUUAUUGCUCCCAAUCCUACAUUGCUCUCGACGUACUGUGCGCGGAAUGCGUAGGCUGAACGGAUAUUUUUUGCCCCUUUCUAAUAAUUACGUCCAGUAUCCUUUGCUUGUAAUAGCUACAAAAACUACUUUAUAAAAUCAGUCAGUUGCGUGAUACUUGAAUAAUCAAUCAUUUGCCCGAGUUGUUCGCAUUUGCCCGAGUCUGGCCAGCGCAUUUCACUAAUUCCUAUGAGACUGAUUUGAAGCCUCUGAUUUUCUUCGAUAGUGUUAUGAGCCUUGCCUUCUUCAAACGACGUUCCAUGUUGCUAUUUAUAACUUUUUGGCCUUUUGACCAUUUUUCACAUUCUGUUUUGUUAAUCUAAUUUUUGGAUCAAGUCUUUUUUUCCGAGAAAUUCGAGUUUGAAGUUGGAAAAUUGAUCUUUAAUGCAAUCGUUUCCCGUUGCUUUCUGCAUUCACAUGCCGUUGAUCAGUGUUAGUGACGGUGCAUUCCUUUAGGUCAUCGUCUGUUAUUAAUACACUAGGGUUAAUUUUAGUAGGCAUUAUUUCUAUUAAAUUGUAUAACGCUGCCCUAAAAAUUUCAGUUUUUUCCGAUGUAGAAAUAAUGCAACCUACAGGAAGACCUCCAAGAGGAGAUUGCGUAAAAUAUACUUACAUCUACUUCUUCUUUCGUUUUUAUUUUACAUCUGAUCACGUUUUUACUAACUUUUAUAAAAGCAUAAUCAUCCGGCAUAAUAAAACUAUGAAUUUUUGAUGCUUUAUUUAAUAAAAACAAAUCAGAAUGAAAAAUAAAUGUAGGUUGCAGACAUCAUGCAAAAACAAUAUUAUUAUUAAAGCGGUAAUCCUGUCCUACAUUAAGUCACACCCGAUAGAAAUAGUCGCGUCGCGCUAACAAGUGUCACUUUCAAAUGUCCGAACUCGUCUCUAAUGAGUUUUACUUACCUCCAUGCGCAGGGUUCUUAGUUCACUCUCAUCACCAGCUACAAAAUACUUGUAGCGCAUUUUAAUUUUUUUUCUUUUUUUAUCAUUUCAUUAAAGAAAGUAUUAUUCAUCCUCCUAUUUUUUGCCUAAAAUAUUCCAAAGAAGAUUAGCUUACUAUUUCACAUUUAAAAAUGUUAAAGAUCGGAGAUACCUAUAGUCAACUAGAACCAUCGGAUUAAACCCCACACAAAUAAAAAUAAGGCAGUUGAUAUUUUAGGAACGGUAGCUAUUAAUCCUCAAAUAGGCUUUCUUUAGAUGCUGAAAUUAGUCAAACAUCAAUUAUAGCAAUUUUGAACAGGAAUAAGUUUCCUCCUUCUCCUUUCCUUACACUUCAUCAAGAGCUUCAAUUUAUUUUAAUGAGGUCAUAUUCAGUUUUUAUUGUUUGUUUUUCUAAAAGAUAAACAAACAAUCUAAAUUACACGACGGCUAAUAAUCGUCACUGAAUAAGAACGAUACUAAAUAAGAAUCCUUGGUCUUUUGUAUGGUAUGGUAUUUUUGAGGAUAAAGUUAAUAAGGAUAAUUUAAAUGAACAGGUGUAAGUAUUUAAAUGAAAGGGUAAUUAUUGAAAUUAAAUUUUUGAAAAGUAGACUUUUGUUUGCUUGGUCCAGGUGGUCCUAUCAACUGCCCUGCUUGUUCGCGAGAUUUGACUUCCUUGAUUUUUUUUCAUGUGGAUUUAUGAUGGAUAAAGUAAUGGCUACUACUCCUACGACUCAGAAGAUUUACCAGACCAAUUUUUAUUAUUGUAAUUAUUUAUAGUCAUAAUUCCGCAAUUAAAAGGUAACUAGUAGAUGGAUAUAUAUUUUUUGCAUACAGGUUUUGUUUCGUUCUCUUUCCUUUUGUUAUUUUUUUGCUAAUUUUACUUAUUUUUAGUUAACAUAAGUUUUCUUCAAAGUUUAAGAAAUUUAAUAAUUAGUUCGGUAAUACUUUGUUAAUUUUGGUUUAUUUACAUUGAUUUUGCAUAUAAAAGUUCACCCGGUAUAACAUACGAGGUUUCUUGGUAAAUUGUUAAUACUUAAACUCGACCUAUCUUACAUUUCCUUACUAUCUUACGCCAAUGUUCCUUCCAUAAAGCCUUGCUCUUUUAUCCUACUUUACCUUAUGGACCCCUCGGGGCGAGAGGACUGAGCUAUUUGACCAAGAUCAUCCGCCAAAUACUUAAAAUACGGAACAUGUGUGCAGUACCGGAAAGCAGUAGUACAACAGCAAUCACUGGUAACUAAAUCUCAUGUGAGAUAAUACCGAAGUACAUCACGUCUUUGUCGAUUUAAUAAAAGCUGAUUGGGUUGUUCCUUAUAUCAACAUCCUAUACUUCAUUUAUUACUAGGGUAAGUCGAGUCAUAUUUUCCUUUUGCGUUAAAUUGUGUCUCUUCUUAUUUUGGUUCUAUUUUAUUUCGCUCAUUACAUAGUCACUAAGGGUGUGUGUUGAAAACAGAAGGAUCACCUUAUUUCAGUGUGGUGACUGAAGCAAUAAUAAUUUAUAUUUUUUUUUACAGUCUGUUCUUGAUAACUUGAUAAAUAAUUAGGAUUAAAAUAACCUUGAUUUAAUUAAUUAAACAUAUAUUAUAAACAGGUCCGAAACAGGCUUCAUAUUUGCCGUACAUCAUUCUAUUUAAAAUAAGAAAUUGACCCUCCCCUCUCUUAGAGGUGAAAAAACAAAUGGCAAAAAUAUCAUAAAAUAUGUUGCUCCAUGUAUAUCACAUUAUUUUACAUACGUAACACCCUAUAUAAAUUGCGAUGCAAUCGUUUCUGCAGUGUGGCAACACCUCUGUGAGUUAUCGAUAAUUGCACUUCUCUUAUGGAAGGUAAGGACGAUCUGUGAGAAUCUUUAAGUUAUAUGGUUUUAAGAGGUUUUCGGAGAUAACAAAAUAGACAGAAAUAGCACACUAUAGUGUGUGGGAAUGUUGGUAUUUACAAGUUCUCAAAAACAUAGGCGAUGACAGAUGUUUACCAGAAUUCUUUUAAGGGAUAUUUCUAAUAUGAUCCUUUUUAGAAUUCAGUUCGACGGUAAUUUUACUUGAAAACAGUCGUGCAGCAGUGCCCACUUGUUCUCCCGUAACUUUUCCCUAGUGUUGUGGUUAGUGCCUUUAUUGGACAAUCAAACUUGUCAAAUUACAAAGGUGAGAGUUUUCACUGAGCAUUGUCUUACCUUAUGUUUUUCCCACUAUUUAAAUCAUUAUCAGUAUAAAGAAAGUAAUAUUUAAAUGCGCAUCCUUCCGUGCUAGGUGUAGUGACCUGAUACCUUGGUACGUAAAACAGCGCUAGCUAGUGUAAGUAGGUGUGUGGCACUAGUGCAACUCCGAGUGUUGUGGCACCUGGGAUUAUUUUGUAGACUGUGUAAUUGGCCAUUAAAUCAGUGUGUUGUUUUGUGGAGUGCUUGCUAGCACUAUCUCAUCAACUCGAUUACUAAUGCAGGACAUCAGGUUUUGUUCUGCCUGGAUUGGAGAACAACUCUUUAACAAGGUCUACUGAUGUCUAUAAUUUGAAGGAUGUUAGUCUUAUUGAUAGUUUUAUGGUAUUGUGUACAAGUGCUAUAAAUUUGAAUCGGCCUUGUGUGAACGUAUUUUACUUUUAUUUAACAAUCACAAUAACUAGGGUAAAAUAUUUGCUCACAGGUACCUUUUACUUUUUAGGUAUGUAGUAUCGUAUCAUUUCAUAUCAAUAAUCUCGAAUCCUGACGUAAGUAAUACAUCUAUCAUUCUGUCUUAUUACAUGUUCCAAAUAUACACCACAAGUUACUUACUGUAAGUACAUUUAUCGUUUUUGCUACUGUUUAAAAGUUUACUGUUUACAAGUUUAUUGUUGUAAUACAUCCUGACAAGAUGUUGUACAUAUAUUAAAAUCAAAUAAAAAUAACUGGAAGUAUUAUAAUACGCCCUCUCAAGAAUUUAGGCCCUGACAAGUGUUAUUAAUUUCGAUUUAUUAGCAGGACAGCUUUUAGCUAAAUUUAAUUUCUACAAAGAUGCUAUUAAAUUAUGUUAAUCUGCAAUGCUUACCAUUAUAAAGAUGACAAUGUUAGCGGUAUUACUAAAGUUACUCACUUAAAUCCUGUAUAUAAUUUAAUAUGGUUUGUUGGACAUUUCCAGAAAGGCAUUUUAUAAAUUAUCUUAUCUGCGAAUAGCUUAAGUUGGUUUAGUAGAAAUAAAUCUCUCCGAAAGGGAUAACUUUAUUAGGCUGAACUAUUCUCAAUUCUUCCCUGCGGUUUCUCUUAAUGGAACCAACAUAUAUAAGCCAGGAUAUAGAUUCUAACUUAGCACAAUAUUUACUACAGUAAAUAAGUAAUUUCAGGUCUUUUAAGCGUAUUUUAGCACUUUAGUGUAGUCUCAUUAAGUAGACACCCGUUUUUUUGCAGCAAUUAUGCCUGUUUGUAAAACGCCCUUUUUAUUGUUUUUCUUCAUGAUUUUUAUAACAAUUGUUUACACGGAUGCAAAUAUGAUUGGGGUUUGCAUUAGAAAUUGUGCUCAAUGUAAAAAGAUGUUUGGCCCAUAUUUUGAAGGACAAUUCUGUGCAGAUGCUUGCGUAAAAUUUAGAGGAAAAAUGCUUCCAGACUGUCAAGAUACCACUUCAAUUGCGCC